rnacentral:rRNA from 1 species
GAUGGUAUGGCAGGAUGUGUGCAGAAAAGAUCAUAAAACAAAAGUAGUAGUAUAAUAAGGUCCUCGUGGCUUCUUCGGUCGCCGUAACGGUUUGCUUGUUCUGCUCCGUCGCUCGCCGCCUAAACGCAGGGGUCGCCACUUCUAGGGGCGCCACUGGCCGCCGGAGCAGUGGGGUGCGUCGCAGCGCGGCUGCCGGAGGCCAUCGCGGUAGUAGUCCAAGCUAAGCGACAAGGGUGGCCGCGGACCGGACUAAACCACGCUGCCGCCGCCGCCGAGCUAAGCCACGCCGCCGUCGAACUAAGCGCCUCUGACGCCGGGCUAACGCUGCCGCACGUCUCAGGGGCGAGUCGCAGCCGGCACGCUCCCUCGCCGCUCCACUGCACGUCACCGCCAGACGAGGAGCAGCGCGUGCACGUCAGUGCGCCCCUAGUCCGUGGCCUAACGUCUGACGUCAUUGGAUGUCUAAAGACACCACCGUUAAAGAGCAACGAACACAUUGUAAUAAGAGAUGUCUUCAUUUCUUAUAUACCCGACUGAAACCGUAAAGUACCCUCCAAAACUUCUACUACUUGGCGGUAGUUUUGCCCGUUCUCGUAGGAGUCAUCUUAGUCGUUGAAACAGUCUGUAGGGGACAAUAAGCUUUGGGUGAUUAGGAAACCCUCCAUGUUACCGAUCUGGAAACUGAAGGGUUCCCUUUCUUCAAUACCAACCGAGAUUUCCAAAUUAAUUCUCCCUACUUAAACACUCCUAUUAGUGUUUUAGAGACAUAUGAGAUCCUAUACUUUUUUGACCUCGACAAGAACUCCUUCUUAGUCCAUAUUUUGACGUAAGGGGUGGUCACUUACAAAAGUCUUUCGUCCACGAACUACCCUUAACCCUGUCACGUCAUCAAUGGAACUUGUGUGAACUAGAAGACCUGCUUUUGUAACACUUCAGACGUCAUAAAAACAAUAACCUCGUCUUUAAAAAACUUGAAGACUCUUUACCGUUACAGUACCCACGAUACUUCUGCGACGUUUCACUCUAGAGGGGGGAACCGUAAUUGUCUUUUUCUCAAGUACUUUACCGUUCAACGAAUUAAAGAAGAGGCGUUUUACAGAACCAACCAAAAAGUUUCGGACCUUAACUUAGAAGAUUGAGUGCCAAAUUCGAGGAUCUCCUUGACGUUUUCCACGAGGGGGGAUGGUAAUACCAUGGACUCUCCUCCAAUCUCUUAAAUCAACUUGUCCGUGAAUGACAUGUUGCACUUCGAACAAUAGAGGUAUUAAGACAACUACCGGGCAGUGAGAUAUAGCUAGUAGUGACACCCUCUCUAGUCUAUGGUAGAGUUCGCGACGUCCAAAACACACGUGUGGCACUGCUUCAUACCAAAGAGGUUAAAAGCUUGUUACCCUUCAUAAAUCGUAGCCGUAGUUUACUAUUUUGACGUCAGUAUACCUUCCAACUACUUCUACCUCUUGAUAACGACUUCGUAUGUAACUGACCAGUACUCUUUGGUCACUACUACCAACGUACCUCGGGACUACUAACGGUCGAAGAGUGUACACCUUACCUUCUUCAGUAGGCCGCGACCCUACAACUUAGACCGCUUACAUAUGUACAAAUACUUUUUAGACCGCAACCAGACAACAGUACACCAACCAAAGGUCUACCUUUCGUUUAUAACAGACCAAAUUUACUAGUUUCGGAAACGAACACCCUAAAUCUACCUUUUGUUCGUCUAACGACCCUUCCCGUCUCCAGUUGCUUUUGUAGACUGAAACGACAGAGUUUUCUACCGUUUGAAUAUUAUUCGUGGUCAUCUCUAAGGCGUUAAGACAAUAAGUUAUCCCUGUGUUUUGUCCUCUCCGACUAACUUCUCCUCGUAUGUCAGUGAAGUAAAAGAGAAAGCCUUCUACCGCUAAAGAACGAACAUUUAGAAUAUUUACUCGUCUAAGUAAACACCUUGUAUUCCUUACUAGGGUAAGUUCAAUUUGUCAUGUGACCGGUAUUCGCGUCGGCCAAACACUAUUCCAGUACAAAGCCACCUAGACUCGUCCGGAAAUAACGGUCACCUUCGCUUCUGCGUUUCCAGAUAUAUACCGUGUCUCGAUCACCUCUACAAUAGCUCUGGGACAGACCGGUGAGCCCACGCCAGUUGACGCAUUCGACCUUGGGAUGUUUAGGUGUAUACGAACGUAGACGCUCACUACUAGUAUGGUAAGCGUAUACCCCCGAUUUCUUUCGGUGGCACUUCGCUUCCCUGCGUCCGUCGUCGUCGCCGUCAUUACCCUAGGUGUACUUGCCGUCACGGUUGCCGUUGCCAAAACAAGUGGUCACGUUGCCUUCGGCGUCGUUCACUGUUACUGUACGUCGCGAAACGAAAGGAAGGAGGUCCUUCCUGUGGGACCAGGUCGUGGCCACAUCCCCCCCUCGCCUUUUGGACGAACCAAAAUACGUGGCGGAGGGAACAAGGUAGCACACAGUGUUGACAGUGUAAAUAAAGAGUUAAGUUUCUACCUGUGUUUAACUUUAUAACAAACCGCGAAUUUUAUCGAAAGAAAGGAGAUUAAAACACUACCAGCACUA